ensembl:lncRNA
CAGUCAUUUGUGAUCUGUUUAUACCUACAAGCUAUACACAUGAGGUAGAGGAGAAUAAUUUAGGGUUCCCAUAAGACAUUAAUAGGUGAACAUGGACACUGCUUUGUUGGUCUAAUAUCACAACCAAGGGCAACACACGUUUUGUCAUGUUUAUUUACACUGCAUAGCACAGAUCCUAGAGGAGUGGUAUGUGUAACACGACCCCCCAGACACAUAUGCGUUGGAUGUUCAUGGGGGGACAGUAAAAUAUGGUGUCACUGAUUAUUGUUUUGUUGAAGAAGGUUUUAUAUGCAGGCUAAGAACAUGGGAGCACAUACAUCGUCAUUAGUUUGUGCCUUGUGGAAAUAUGGUUAUUCUGCACAAAUGGUCCAAAACUAAAAGAAAAGUGUAAUACAAUGAAAUGGCAAUUCAUGAUUUGCUUUUGAUUACCUUCAGAAAUAUCCUGUUCAGUAAGUGUGUGUGUGGAGAGGAACAGGAAGUCGACUUUGUGCUUAGAUGACUGUGAGCAGUGGAUAUAUCAAUAUGAAAACAGGCUGGCAAAAAAAGAUAUUUUGCCUUUUAAAAAUAAUACGCUGUUUCUCGACACCUCCACCCCAAAAUAAAAAAAACACCCAAACAAAAGCGAAAAAAAAGAUAGACUGAGUAAAAAAUACAGGAUAUAAAAUCAGUUUAGACUUUUUACGUUAUUUACACUGAACACAUGCUCAUAAUAUAUUUAAAAAAUAAUUUAUCUUUCUUUUAUUUUUUGCCUACAAAAUAUAGUUUUGUACAUGACCCACUGACAACAGCGCAGUGCUAUGUGGUUUUUACUUUAUACUGAAUAUGGAGGACGGUGUGUAUCACUGAUGUAUCAAGCUCCUUCUUUAGUCUGGGGGGGGGGGAUUGGGGUUAGAGACCUAUGUACAAUCUUUAAAAACAGACAAACACACGUGGAAACAAACACAGACAAAAAAUGCACCGAGAAUGCAAUUGUUAUUCCGAUCACGCCUGUUUACAAUUUGGAGUCUGUUUAAUAGGAGAGAGCCUCAGUCUUGGGGCUAGGCAGGCGUGUGUUGAGGACACUCACACCGAGAGCUGUGGCUAGCAGACAUUUAUGUCUGGGCUUCCAGCAUAGCUAUUAUGGUUUUCCAUGUAGCGUGCAGAGUUCUAUGUAUAUGUUUUGACCAGCCCUUUAUUUGGCAUGCCUGCUCAUAUCAUGCUUGGAAUUGCUCGGAAAUGCUUGGAAUUUGUCUCCUCGGGACAAAUACCCUAC